CAGUUCGGACUGUAGGCUGCAACUCGCCUACACGAAGUUGGAAUUGCUAGUAAUCGUGGAUCAGCAUGCCACGGUGAAUACGUUCCCGGGUCUUGUACACACCGCCCGUCACACCAUGGGAGCUGGUAACACCCGAAGUCAGUAGUCUAACCGCAAGGAGGACGCUGCCGAAGGUGGGAUUAGCGACUGGGGUGAAGUCGUAACAAGGUACC
rnacentral:rRNA from 1 species